rnacentral:rRNA from 1 species
CCUACGGGCGCAGCAGUCGGGAAUAUUGCGCAAUGGAGGAAACUCUGACGCAGUGACGCCGCGUAUAGGAAGAAGUUUUUCGGAAUGUAAACUAUUGUCGUUAGGGAAGAGAAAGGACAGUACCUAAGGAGGAAGCUCCGGCUAACUACGUGCCAGCAGCCGCGGUAAUACGUAGGGGGCAAGCGUUAUCCGGAUUCAUUGGGCGUAAAGCGCGCGCAGGCGGGCCGCUAAGCGGGACCUCUAAUCUUGGGGCUCAACCUCAAGCCGGGUCCCGAACUGGCAGCCUCGAGUGCGGUAGGGGUAAG